UGUCCUUUUGAUUAUAAUUUAAGGUCUAAUCUGCCCAAUGAAAAUUUAAAUGGCCGCGGUAUUUUGACCGUGCAAAGGUAGCAUAAUAAUUAGUUUCUUAAUUAGAAGCUGGAAUGAAAGAUUGAAUGAGAAAAUAACUGUCUCAAAAAAAAUUAUUUAAAAUUUUAUUUUUAAGUUAAAAAGCUUAAAUUUUAUUAAAAGACGAGAAGACCCUAUAGAGUUUAAUUUUAUUUUAAAAUAAUUAUAUAUUGAUUUAAUAAUUUUUAUUAUAAAAUAAAAUUUUGUUGGGGUGACAAAAAAAUUAAAUUAACUUUUUUUAAUUGAAAACAUAAAUCUAUGAAUAUUUGAUCCAAAAUUUUUGAUUAAAAGAUUAAAUUACCUUAGGGAUAACAGCGUAAUUUUUUUAGAGAGUUCUAAUCGAAAAAAAAGAUUGCGACCUCGAUGUUGGAUUAAAAUUAAAAUUUGGUGUAGAAGCUAAAUAUUUAGGUCUGUUCGACCUUUAAAAUUUU
rnacentral:rRNA from 1 species